rnacentral:tRNA from 1 species
AAGGAGUAGUUUAAGUAGAACUUCAGCUUUGGGUGUUGGAGGUAGGACAUAGUGUCUUCUCCUUG